ACAGCGGGUGCUUGGAAAGAGUCAGUUCUGAGCCAGUGCGAUAGAAGCUCCAUGGAAUACCGAAUGUGGAUUACUGAGCCCAGGGGUCCACCAGAUGGGAGAUAAAUAUCUAAAACUCCCAACUCCAUGGAAACAGCCGCAGCUCUUCAAGGUGAUUUUGUACACACACAAAAAAGGAAAAGAAAGUGGAGUUCACAUGAGGCCCCCGCCCUUGCUGCGGCUUCCCAGCCUCUUUCCAUGUCUUCAGAAAUGCCGGCACAGAAAGGAGACAGAAGGAAAAACAGGUCAUCACAGCGUGUUACGUUCCAGGAUUGAGGCACUUUUCAGCUAGCACUGGUGAAAUGGUUGUGCAGAGGUUAUAAGGGCUGAUAAUAUCCCGGCUCUCCUUCCAGCCACAUAGUAGGAUAGAACAUACUCUCUUCCUUUGAAUUUGGAC
rnacentral:lncRNA from 1 species